UGGACAACAUAAAUGGAGAAAUUGUAAGAAAUGUGGUAAAGGAGCUGUGGGAAAAGACCCUAGAGAUGUGAAGUGAAAGAAGAGGAACAUUAAUAAAUCUCAAGGUACCAUGCUGAAUACUGAAGGCGAUGCUGAUCAUUGAUGCUGUACAGGAGCAUAUUCUUCUAGCUAGACAGGUACACUGCUGAAGACUGGGAUCAACUGAAGGUGAUGCUGUCACAUUGUGAUUGUGUUUGAAUUGGAAACAUGGUGAUGAUGUUCACAGAGUACGUACAUAUGUUCAUAUUGUGUGCUUCUUGUA